rnacentral:misc_RNA from 1 species
UCCGGUUUGUCACCGGCAGUCCCAUUAGAGUGCCCAACUUAAUGUGGCAACUAAUGGCAAGGGUUGCGCUCGUUGCGGGACUUAACCCAACAUCUCACGACACGAGCUGACGACAGCCAUGCACCACCUGUGCACCGGUCCCGAAGGGCUGCCAUAUCUCUAUGACAUUCCCGCGCAUGUCAAGCCUUGGUAAGGUUCUUCGCGUUGCGUCGAAUUAAACCACAUGCUCCGCUGCUUGUGCAGGCCCCCGUCAAUUUCUUUGAGUUUUGACCUUGCGGCCGUACUCCCCAGGCGGAUAACUUAAUGCGUUAGCUGCGCCACCGAAAGCCUAAGGCCCCCGACAGCUAGUUAUCAUCGUUUACGGCGUGGACUAC